rnacentral:lncRNA from 1 species
UCAUGUACUUAUGGGUCAAGUUUGAACGUUCUUGGUGUUCUUAAUUAUCUCAUAUACUGUUAAAGAAGAACAUUCAAAAAGUGAGUGUUUGAUCCAAAAAAAGGAGGUAAGAGAAGGUGAAUUUCUUUUUUGUCCAAAGAAUAUCCCAAGUCUUUCAAAGAAAUAAAGAAACAAAAGGCAUCAAACGGGGAAUAUUCUCAAAGAAGAGGACAAAAGAAAGUACAAAAGGG